rnacentral:rRNA from 1 species
CCUACGGGAGGCAGCAGUGAGGAAUAUUGGUCAAUGGCCGGAAGGCUGAACCAGCCAUGCCGCGUGAAGGUCAGUGCCCUAUGGGCGUUAAACUUCUUUUGUGCGGGAGCAAUAAUGGUCACGUGUGGCCAGACGAUAGUACCGUACGAAUAAGCAUCGGCUAACUCCGUGCCAGCAGCCGCGGUAAUACGGGGGAUGCAAGCGUUAUCCGGAUUUAUGGGGUUUAAAGGGUGCGUAGGCUGUGAGGUAAGUCAGCGGUGAAAUGCCCCCGGUCAACGGGGUGAAGUGCCAUUGAUACUGCCUUGCUGGAAUGCGGAUGCCGUGGGAGGAAUGUGUGGUGUAGCGGUGAAAUGCAUAGAUAUCACACAGAACACCGAUUGCGAAGGCAUCUCACGAAUCCGCGAUUGACGCUGAUGCACGAAAGCGUGGGGAGCAAACAGGAUUAGAUACCCUAGUAGUC